GGGAGCUAUAUAAGGUUGUUAGAUACCUGGUUAUUUAUCUAUACUUUGGUAUUUUAUCAUGUAUUUGCCUCUCAUUUUAUAAAAUUUCAAAUUUUAUAAAUUGCUUCUAUCUUUUGUUGAGAGUGAGAGCCAUUUAAGGGGAUGUUUUAACUGUAUGAGCUUAGAAGAGAGUUAGGAGUAUUAGAUAUAUCUUAGGAUCAAAGCUUAUGAAAAUUUUUACAUUUUCAUAAAAUUAAUGACUCAUAAUCGAUUAUCACAAAG
rnacentral:lncRNA from 1 species